GACGAACGCUGGCGGCGUGCUUAACACAUGCAAGUCGAACGGAAAGGCCCUGCUUUUGUGGGGUGCUCGCGUGGCGAACGGGUGAGUAGCACGUGAGUAACCUGCCCUUGACUUUGGGAUAACUUCAGGAAACUGGGGCUAAUACCGGAUAGGAGCUCCUGCUGCAUGGUGGGGGUUGGAAAGUUUCGGCGGUUGGGGAUGGACUCGCGGCUUAUCAGCUUGUUGGUGGAGUAGUGGCUUACCAAGGCUUUGACGGGUAGCCGGCCUGGGAGGGUGACCGGCCACAUUGGGACUGAGAGACGGCCCAGACUCCUACGGGGGGCAGCAGUGGGGAAUAUUGCACAAUGGGCGGAAGCGUGAUGCAGCAACGCCGCGUGCGGGAUGACGGCCUUCGGGUUGUAAACCGCUUUCGCCUGUGACGAAGCGUGAGUGACGGUAAUGGGUAAAGAAGCACCGGCUAACUACGUG
rnacentral:rRNA from 1 species